rnacentral:rRNA from 1 species
AGUGAACGCUGGCGGUAGGCCUAACACAUGCAGGUCGAACGGCAGCACCGGAGAGCUUGCCCUCUGGGUGGCGAGUGGCGGACGGGUGAGGAAUACAUCGGAAUCUACUCUGUCGCGGGGGAUAACGUAGGGAACCUUACGCUAAUACCGCAUACGCCCUACGGGUGAAUGCAGCGGACCUUCGGCCGUUGCUCGAUUGAAUGAGCCGAUGUCGGAUUAGCUGGUUGGCGGGGGAAAGGCCCACCGAGGCGACGAACCGUAGCUGGUCUGAGAGGAUCGUCAGCCACACUGGAACUGAGACACGGUCCAGACUCCUACGGGAGGCAGCAGGGGGGAAUAUUGGACAAUGGGCGCAAGCCUGAUCCAGCCAUACCGCGUGGGUGAAGAAGGCCUUCGGGUUGUAAAGCCCUUUUGUUGGGAAAGAAAUCCAGCUGGCUAAUACCCGGUUGGGAUGACGGUACCCAAAGAAUAAGCACCGGCUAACUUCGUGCCAGCCGCCGCCGUAA